ensembl:lncRNA
AUGUACGCCGCCGGCGGGACGGAGGGGCGCCUGUGUACGGCGAGGCAGCAGUGGAUCCUCCAGCGGCUCAAAUUCCUCGACCCGCACAUAAAGAGGAGGUCGUCCUACUGCGCCGAUCUGGACUAUGAGGUGACGGUGGUUGAGAACAGCUGUGAUGAGUUGAGUCCGGCGCAGGUCGACGUCGAGCUCGAGGCGGACAGUCUGAGCGGCGCGCAGCACCAUCAGGCUACGCACUCUGACGGAGAGCUCAGUCUGGACACGUUUAAACCCCAGCUGGCCAAAAGGUCAUUUCAGGACGACGAAAGGGUCAGUUCAGACUCGCCUCCGUCGCGGGGCAGCAAGCGGCACUGCGCCAGCGGCGAGAAGAUGAACAUUCUGAACGUUCCACCAGCGCACGCCGCCAGAGAGUUCGAGGACGACGAAGAGUUGGAAUCGGCGAGUUUGCGGAGAGUGGCCUGCAGCACGGUGGAGGACAGAAAGAGGGAAGACUGCUGGGACGUCUUCGGCAGGUACGUGGUGUCCUGCCUGAAAAGCCUGGAGUCGUCGCGGAGCCGAAUCAAAGCCCAGAACGAACUGUGUGCCAUCUUACAGAAACACAUACAGGGCGACGAAGAGCAGGAGACGGCAGACCCGCAGGAACAGCGGGCAGCGCCCGCAGCCUGCGCAGGCGGCGGCGCCGUCAAAGCCAGCACGCGCCCGCGCCCCCGCUGCGAGCCCCCGGCUGACCAGGACGACCUGGAGCCCUUCCUGAAGUCCAUGUCCAUCAUCAUGAAGCGGCUGCCGGAGAGCGUCCGAGCGGAGGUGAAGUUCAGAAUCCACGAGCUGGUGCACAGAGCGGAGAUGAAGCACCUUUACGAACAGACAAACGCGCAGAACACGACGACGCCCAGCCAGGAGUCCAGCUGGGAGAACGGACUCAACUACAAUCUCAUUUAACUCCUCUCCUAUUUGGCUAGACCGCUUUUUGUACAGAUUUUUAAAAAUAAAUUAUAUAUAUUUAGUAGAACGCUGUGUGUCGUGAUGUCAGCUGUCAGGGUAGAUACUGGAACAUGAAGCUGAGCGCCGGAGAUUAAUGCAGAAAUAUGUAAGAUUGGCUCAGAGCUGCUUUAUGAUGAACUGAACGUUUGCAAGGUUUUUUCUACACAAACUGCAUUCGCGCUUUAUCAGAAACACCUGUCUACUGCUUCCACUCACUGGCCACUUUAUUAGAAACACCUGUCUACUGCUUCCACUCACUGGCCACUUUAUUAGAAACACCUGUCUACUGCUUCC